CACGGGCGGGCCACGCCCCGCUCCGGGCGCGCGGGAGGGGGCGGCAGGCUGGGCCGGGAGUAGAGAGGGGUGGGGGGAGAGGGAGAGGGUUGGAGUUCCUCCCGGAGGGGCAUGGCUGGGACGUGCUAGCACAGGGCAGGUCGCUGAGGUGAGUGAGCCCCGGCCCUGUGCCGUCGCUUUGCCCUCGCUGUUCUCCGCUCUGGGAGGGAGGGGGCGAGCGGGGCCCGUCAGUCCUUAUAAAUAAGGGGAGGGAAUGGCCCGAAGUUGUGUCAGGGGAGGUUAGGUUGGAUUGUAGGGGAAGGCUUUUCAUGCAGAGGGUGGUCGAGCACUGGAAUAGGCUCCCCAGGGAAGUGGUCAUGGCCUCAAGACUGCCAGUUCACAAACCUUUUGGACAACGCUCUCAGGCACGCGGUGGUAUUCCUGGGGCACCGUGUGCAGGGCCAGGAUUUGGACUCGAUGAUCUGAUUCCAACUCAGAAUGUUUUGUGAUUCUGUGAAAGGGUGGAGCUCAGAGGAGGAGCUGGGGUGACACAUUCUCAGCAGAGCUUGCAUGUGAAACUGCAGGAGUCUCCUGAACAUCCUCCUGCUUUCCCUGUGUGCGUCUGGUGGUUUUAUGAUCCAAGUUUAAAAGCUCGGGAGCCGCGGUGUGGUGUGAUGGGUCCUGGGGCCGGAGGAAUGCUGGCCAUGUUUGCCGUGUCUUGUUGCAGGUUGGCAGCUGGAGCAGGGGGUCUCCUGGAGCACUGGCUGCAGGGACAGGACUGAGGUGGGGUCACUGCUGUGUCUUCCUUCAGUACGCCACGGAGCAUCAUCCAAGCAUUAAUUUUGAGAGAAUAGGCAAUUCCACCAGUUUAAUCUGCUCUUGUCAGUCUGCACAGUCACUCCCUGCUGAAGCUGAUGGAGCCUGGCCAGCCAGCAGCCAACACAACAUUUGCUGCUACCUGAUAGAAACCAUCCUGCUGAGAGACGCAGGCCAGCGCCGGGAGAUCGCAGCUGCAUGAGCAAGAUAGAGCAUGGGAGAAAGCAAGGCAGGCUCAAACGCUGAGCAGUUGUGGAUCUUUAGAACCCAGCUGUCCCACAUAGGCCUUUUCUCAUUUUUAUUCCAGCAACUGACAUCAAGGGCAUGCUUUUUCUAGCAGUGUCUCUUGUCCAAACCCUUCCAGAUAUUAACAGAUGGCUGUAUUUCUGCAAAACAAGGCAGGGUUCCUGGAGAUUUGUAAGGGCACAUUCCAUAUGCAGAGCCUCGGUGUUUUAUGAGGCUUCAUUGCAAGUUAUAUGAAAAUGCUCUCAGUCAGGUGGUUCCCAACUCUGAAGUCUGGCUUUUGUCCUGCAUUGAUGCUUCUUGAAGAAGAAACUCAGAUGUUGCUAAAUGUUACAAUACAUGCAGAAAUAUUUUGCUUUCUCAACUGAAGGAGAGAAUCACAUUUUAUCAAAACUAAAAUGUAUUUAAAAUGGCUAAGUGAAAAUCUUUCUGAAUUACUGUUUAUUGGGAAUAUCUCCAGUAGUAAGAAUCCUUUUUUUCUGUACCUUUUUUAUCAGGGAUCACAUGUCUGUUCUCUUAACUUUCUUUGCCAAAAGAUUAUUUGUUAAGCAUAAUUAAAUUAAUUUAUAAUUUACUUAAUAAAAUGUGUCACUCUUAUUAAGUACUUUAUUCU
ensembl:lncRNA